rnacentral:sRNA from 1 species
AAAAAAAACAUAAACCCGUGAUUUUCCCGCCAAAAACGUAAACCCGUUAUUUUCCCGUCAAAAACGUAAAUCCGAGAUUUUCCCGCCAAUAACGUAAAUCCAUAAUUUUUCCGCUAAAAACGUAAACCCGUAAUUUUCCCGCAAAAAAUGUAAACCCAUAAUUUUCCCGCCAAAAACGUAAACCCGUGAUUUUCCUGCCAAAAACGAAAACCCGUGAUUUUUCCGCCAAAAACGUAAACCCGUGAUUUUCCCGCCAAAAACGUAAACCCGUGAUUUUCCCGCCAAAAACGUAAACCCGUAAUUUUCCUGCCAAAAACAUAAACCCAUGAUUUCCCCGCCAAAAACAUUAAUCCGUAAUUUUCCCGCCAAAAACGUAAACCCGUAAUUUUCCUGCCAAAAACAUAAACCCAUGAUUUCCCGCCAAAAACGUAAACCCGAUAUUUUCCCGCCCAAAACGUAAACUCGUAAUUUUCCCGCCAAAAAACGUAAAUCCGUGAUUUUCCCGCCAAAAACGUAAACCUUAGAUUUUCCCGCCAAAAACGUAAGCCCGUAAAUUUCUUGCCAAAAACAUCAACCCGUAAUUUUCCCGCCAAAAACGUAAACCUUUAAUUUUCCCGCCAAAAACGUAAAUCCGUGAUUUUCCCGCUGAAAACGUAGACCCGUAAAAAGUGGAAUCCGUAAAUAACCUAAGUUUGAUAAUAAUGAAUUACUAAUGAUAAUUAUUUAUUAUUGUAUUAUAAUAAUAAUGAAUAAAAUUAUU